rfam:Camelus ferus unplaced genomic scaffold scaffold1633, whole genome shotgun sequence.
GAAGCUAUAGCUCAAGUGGUAGAGCACAUGCUUAGUAUGCACGAGGUCCUGGGUUCAAUCCCCAGUAUGUCUG